ensembl:lncRNA
CAAACGGGUGAAUACUAUUUUAAUAAUAUACCUGAUUUCAUCUGUACAGAAACAGUCACAUUUUUCUGUGUUCAAUCUAAAACACGUACAAAGAAAAUAAGGAAUAAAGCAAGCCUUCACAGUAGGCCUGCAGACAGAGUCCCGAGUGUACCAUCUUAGUAUCUAUAUUCAUCAUCAUAACUACCGUUUAGUGUAAAAUUAACGGUAACGAUUAACGACUUAACGAUUACAGGAUGUACCAUAAAUAAACAUGGGCAUGUAUUAACUUGUACUAGACAUUUUUAAGUGCAAGACAAAUUCCACAACUGAUGGACAAGUGUGUGUGUGUGUGUGUGAGAAUGAGGGAGCGAGCACACCUGUAAAUGUUUAAAUGACAAAACAAACUGCUAUUUUUACAUUCCAAAAAGUAAGCAUUUCAGAAGGACAAAUAUAAGAUAAUUCGAAACGAACGAUAAAAUUCUCCCUGUCUAUCUAUCUUUUUCCGUCUAUACUUUCGCAUCUGUCUGUCUUUGUGUCUUUCAUUUCACACACACACACACACACACACACACACACACACACACACACACACACACACACACACUGUUGAUUAAUAAAAUAUAUAAAUAAAAAUAACAACCAGUGCUCACUUUUAUAUUUUUUUUCCACAGACCACUAAUCCCUUUGAUUAGAUCUAAUACCUGCCAAAACCCAGAUGGCAUGCCCACACAUCGCUCCCUGUGAUAAUGCCAUUGUGGAAUCUACCUAUUAAUAUUAAUUUUCAGUCUCCGCAAAUGUCUGAACUGCUAAGGCUUGAAAUUUCUUCAAAAAGCCAUGGCAUGACUUACCAGGGAUUUUAAAAGAUAAUUCCUAUUCCACCUCUUUUUCCUCGCUUUGAAGUGAGAAUCGCAUCCACUAUCUUGGAUUAAGGUAGUUAAAAGGUUUCCAUUUCUGCUCACGGUAUAAGAUGAGCACCAUAUAGAAUUUCACGUUUUCAUGAUUUUCACGUCUCCAAUUUAACUCCCAGGAUAUUUGUAGACCCUUUAUCUUAAUACAUAGUCUGCUCAAUUCCUAUGUGAUUGAAAAUAGAACUAUUAAGGUAUUUGUCACGGGUUUACAAGCUGCAAAAGGUAGGCCUAAUCACCAUCUUCAGCACACUGAAGUCUCGAAAUAAAAUGGCGACGUGUUCAGGACAACCAUCAAGGCCUUGUUGCUCUAAAUGUGUCAGUGGGUCUGUUUAAAAUCUCCACAUCAAUCUUUAAAUCUACUAUUAAUUUGCGUUCCUGUGUUCAAGGCCAAACAUAAACAAACUAAAGAGCUCUGAUACACUAGACAUUAAUGUAUCAGCGGAAUGUAUUAUGCUUUUAAUGGCUGCCCUUACGUGAAAAUGGUGUUUUUAGAGUUAAAUGUACACGAUGAUUUUUAUGACAAAAAGAUGUCAAGAAAUAAAUAUAAAGGAACAGGGUAUUGCUCCACCCUUAUCCAAGUCUAAAUACAGUUAUUGAGCUGAAAGUGCACUUUGUAAACAAUAAUGUUGUUAAUGAAUAAACAAACAAGGAAACAAACCAAUCAACCAAUAAA